UGCAAGAUCAGUGCUAUUUCCUUGAUGUCACUACAAGGAGAGAGGAAAGUGGCCAAGACAUCCACUGAAGCUAUCCUGUGCAGUCAGAAUGCUUUACUUCCAAAUGUUUGUAUGUUUGUAUCUGCUCUGCGCAACUAAUGUAUGAGAACACAAGCAAGUCUGAAGUCCUCAGUAUUUUCUUUUGAAGUACACCAUACAUUCAAAUCAGCCAAAUGUUUCUUCUCCUAUUGGGACCUCUGAAGAUGAUUAUUUGCUGCUUUAAGAAUAUAUUAAAGUAAGAGUUCUAUGGAAACUGAGUAUGCUGACUUCAUCCUUAUGAUGAAUAAGGAUCACAUAAGUCAGUUUUGGCUUGAACUUCAAAUGGGGAACACUGUGGAUUCCAAAAACCUACUGUUACAUCAGAAAUGGAAACAGCACCACUUCUAAUGACAUCAAGCGCAGAUUCAUGUGGCAAAUCUCUGCUGGGAUUUCUCUUCCUCUUUCUCUAGCCAAACGACAAUAUAAAU
ensembl:lncRNA